rnacentral:rRNA from 1 species
AUUGAGUAUUUUAUUUAAUUUUUAAGGGUAAUUUUUAUUAAAAUAAGUAUAUUAAUUUUUAAUAUUAGAUAAGAAAAAAUAAAUUUAAUUAUAGGUUAUGAGUAUUGUGAGAGAAAUAUUUUAAAUAUUAUAAAGAAAAAUUUAUUUUUUGUACCUUGUGUAUCAGGGUUGAUUAACUAUAAUUUAAUUAUAUUAAAUUUCUCGAAUUUAGAAGAGUUAUUAGUUUAUAGAUUUUAUUGUUAAAUAAAUAUUUUUAAUAGACUAUUAGUAAUGAAAUGUUAUUCGUUUUUAAAUAUAUCUAGUUUUUUAAGAAAAAGGUUUAAUUUUAUUUUGAAAAAAAUUAUAUAAUUAAAUUAUUAGUUAUAUAUUUUUUAAUUUGUAUGUUUUUAGGGAUAAGCUUGAAAAUAUAUAUUUAUAAUUAUUAUUGGUAGUUUUUAAAUUGUAGGAUUAGAAUUUUUUAUCAUUAAUAAAAUGUUAUAGUUAAUUAAAUUUAGAUAUGAUUUAUAUAAAUUUUAAAUUUUUUAUUAAAAUAUUUAUUUAAAUAAAAAAAAUAAAGUAAUAAUGAUUAAAUUAGUAUAAAUUAUUUGUUUAGUUAAUUUAUAUUAUUAAGUUUAAUUAAAGGAAUUCGGCAAAUUAUUUUUCACCUGUUUAUUAAAAACAUGUCUUAUUGAGUAUAAUUUUAAGUCUGACCUGCCCACUGAUUUUUAAAUGGCCGCGGUAUUUUGACCGUGCAAAGGUAGCAUAAUCAUUAGUUUUUUAAUUGAAAGCUGGAAUGAAAGGUUGAAUGAAAAAAUAACUGUCUCUAUUUAAAUUUUAGAAUUUUAUUUUUAAGUUAAAAAGCUUAAAUUUGAUUAAAAGACGAGAAGACCCUAUAGAGUUUUAUAUUAAAUUAUAAAUAUUUUUUUAAGAAUUAAUAAUUUAUUUAUUUUUUAAUAUUAGGUUGGGGUGAUUGAAAAAUUUAAUAAACUUUUUUUAUAUAUUUACAUUUAUUUAUGAAAUUUUGAUCCAUUAUUAAUGAUUAUAAGAAUAAAUUACCUUAGGGAUAACAGCGUUAUUUUUUUUAAGAGUUCUUAUCGAAAAAAAAGUUUGCGACCUCGAUGUUGGAUUAAAAUUAAAUUUUGGUGUAGAAGCUAAAAAAUUUAGGUCUGUUCGACCUUUAAAAUUUUACAUGAUCUGAGUUUAAACCGGUGUGAGCCAGGUUGGUUUCUAUCUUUAAUAUAUUAUAAUAUUUUAGUACGAAAGGACCAAAUAUUAAAUUAAUAAUUUAAAUUUUGAAUAAAAAU